rnacentral:rRNA from 1 species
CCUACGGGAGGCAGCAGUGAGGAAUAUUGGUCAAUGGCCGGAAGGCUGAACCAGCCAAGCCGCGUGAAGGACGAAGGUGCCAAGCAUUGUAAACUUCUUUUGUCAAGGGACAAAAUCAGGCUCGAGAGCCUGACCGCGGGUACUUGAAGAAAAAGCAUCGGCUAACUCCGUGCCAGCAGCCGCGGUAAUACGGAGGAUGCGAGCGUUAUCCGGAUUUAUUGGGUUUAAAGGGUGCGUAGGCGGACUGUUACGUCAGCGGUAAAAGCCCGGGGCUCAACCCCGGCGAGCCGUUGAAACUGGCUGUCUUGAGAUGUCGAGAGGUAUGCGGAAUGCGCAGUGUAGCGGUGAAAUGCAUAGAUAUCACGCAGAACUCCGAUUGCGAAGGCAGCAUACCGGCGCUCAACUGACGCUCAUGCACGAAAGCGUGGGUAUCGAACAGGAUUAGAUACCCCUGUAGUC